rnacentral:snRNA from 1 species
GGAUGUGAGAGCGAUCUGCCUGUGACAGCUGUCACUGCCGAGUCAGCUAAUAUGGCUGGCUGGGCCGCUGUCCCCUUCCCUGUUCCUGGGCCGUGUGCAUUCUUCCCGAAGGUGCGCACUCCUUCAAGGAGGACAGCCUGCCCUGAGAGAGGACCAACUACCGUUCCCUCGGUCAAGGGUUUACGAGUAGCAGGGCUCCCCUGCCAGAACCUCCAGACAGACUCUCAGGAGUGCAGAGGGAAAAUGAGGAAGGUUGGAACUUAGUGAUCGAGAGGAAAUCUCUCAUUUUUU